UUGAGUCCAGUGAGUCCGGCUCACAGAGAGCUUUUCUGGAAAGGCAUUCGGGUGUUUUUAAUAAGCCCGUUGGAUACUGUUCGUGAAUCCUUAAAGAAAUCAGGAAUAGACAGCUGCAGAUUCCCAGGCACAGAGAAAAUUUGACCCUGAAAGCUGCCCCGAGACCUGUGAAAGCCCAGACCCCGCCCUCUCUUCCAGUUCGGAGGAAAACACCCAACAACAACAUGGACAACAACAAUAACAACAAGGACAAAGAGUGGGUGUGCUGGGAAUUCCACCGGCGUGAGUGUGCCGGGAAAGGCCUGGCAUGGGACGGCGGCUGGUGAAAAACAGCUUUGAACACCUUCCAUCUGCGGUUGGUUGAGCGCAGGGAAGCAGAGCCCGCGGACGCGGAGCCCACCGUGUGUGUCUGGUCCUCGCGGGCACCUGUGUUUCCGUAUUUGCUGUCGCAUCAAUAAAGACACGAGCGUGAUCUUCCUCGGGGGGAAUACUUUUACUUAAAAUCAAGAACAGGGCAACUGCGGUGUCCCUGUGAAACGUGGCAGGUGAGUAACCACGUCGCGGUUGUGGGGCGCAGCCGGCGAAGACCAGCGCUGUGCUUUGUCCUGACGAGAGAGAACCGGGCACGGUCGCGGGCAGCGCUGCUGAGCUUUGCCCGACGUCCCGCCACCCGGACUGCGAGGGGCUGCUCUGGUCCUGCGUGUACCCCCCCGGGGGUGAAGGCUGAGGGGGUUCCUGCCCCCGGCUCCAGAACCGGACUUCAGCGUCAAAAUGGCAACAGGCCGUGGGACUUAUUAUUAGAUUUUCUCUUUCCUGGUACAAGCUAUUCUCAGAAGAAAAUUUUUAUUUAUUCAUUUAUUGUUUGCUAAGAAGCAAAACCCAUAUUUCUGGAGUGUGUGUGAGCAUGGAGUCAAAACCAUGGAAUAACAGACACAGGCAUUUUGACAAUCUUGUCUCUUAGAACUGAGUUUAGAACCGCCUGCCGCUGGCCCCAGGCUGCCUCUGACGGACAGAAACGGGGUCCCUUCUGCAGGAGGCCUGGCCCUGGGGACGGUCCAGGUUUCUUCCGGGGGCUUCGCCGUCUGUUCUUGCUGUUGCUCACACGGCCUCAGAGGUUCCACGCUGCAGCUUCCUCCCUUCAGAUGGAUUCUCAACAAAGAUUCUCUUUUCUGGUCAAAACUGUCAUGAUUACUUUCUUAUUUUUAAAAGAAUCCGGAUACUUCCUGGUGUACGGCCCCCUGCAGCCUCUCAAAAGCCACAGUGGGGCUGGGGAGGCAGGAAGCCUGCUCGACCGUCCUCUGUGCACCAGACCUGCCGCUCCUUCGCGAGAUGCGCUCCAGCCUGGCUUGUGACAAUUUACCAGGUUUGCUGCAUUUAAUUUCCAUCAGUUAUGGAAAAUCAGGACUUUGCUUCUUGCAUCCCUGGGCCCGCUGCUCUGCACAAGGACACAGCUUGUCUUGGAUGUGGGAAGAAGGCAUGGGACAGACAUCUUUAUCUGGUAUAUUUCCUUUCUCCAACCUGAGCGUGUGAACCCCCAGCUGAGGGCGGCAGGUCCCUCUAGAGGACAUGUCACAGCGAUUAGGAGACCAAGCUGCCAUGGGGUUUGCAAGGCAUCCGAUAAACUCAGCUCAGCCAUAUUCACGCACCACAACCAGGACUGCAAAUCCUUGACAAUGAACUUGUGCUGGGGCCGGCGGGGGGACAGGAGGCUGUGAGUGAGGGCAUGGCGUGGCGCUCUCACUGGGACGGGAUGGGGACGGGUUGGACGUGGGAACAGGAGCCCUUGUGUCGGAAUCUUGUUGGCGGCAAACAGAGAGUUUCAGUGAGUGGCGCAUUUACACUGUUACUAGGGAUGGGAAACAAUGAGAGUCUUAUGAGACUUGUUUACACAACCAGAAAACACAUUUAGCUUCUAGAAGCAGAGUGCUGGUGGCAAAUGUCUGACAUUCAGUUAUGACACACCAAAUAGUUCCCUUCCCCAUGGGUCAGCAAGUUCUGGAAGGCCUCCCCUAAUUCAAGGUGCCAGGAGCCAUAAAUCCAUACUUAAUUAGCUUUGUAUGAAAUGCAAAAGAUGAUAGACUCUUUGUGCUAAAAACGAAACCCAAACCGGUCUGGUUGAUUUAUGUCUAAUUCAGAGUUGUAAUUUAAUUAAAACGACAUGCUGAA